GUUAAAAUUGACUAUUGUGAGAGGAAUAGGAAAUAAAGUAGUUAAAAUAUUCUAAACACAAAAGUGAAAGUUAAGGAAGUAAAUGUCUGCAAGUUCUAAAUAUCAGGUACUUUGGGAGGAAAAUUCAAGGCAGCUCCUGACCUGGACCACACACCUGAAAACCAAUAACAUGUUCUUACUCCUUCUCUAGCCUUCUUUCUUAGAAGAGAUUGUCUACUGUUUGCAAAUAUGCUUUUAAAGGAACAAUAACAACUAUGUCCUCAAGAACCUUCCUUUGUAGGCUCAAGAGUAUUUUAACUAGAAGUCACUGAGUGCAGACCACUCUACGUCCCUACUUUUUUUGUACCAGGAAUUGAACUCAGGACACUCAACCACUGAUCCACAUUCCCAGCCCUAUUUUGUAUUUUAUUUAGAGACAGGGUUUCACUGAGUUCCUUACUUCCUCACCUUUGCUGAGGCUGGCUUUGAAUUCAUGAUACUCCUACAUGAAUUCAAAACAGAUAUGUUUUGACUACAAAGCAGAUAUGUCAGAUCCCCAGUUAAAGUCAGAACAUUCUGACACCUUAGACAUUCUGCCAUCCCCAUUUUUAAUUAUUAAGGGAAAUUAGAUACUCCUGCCUCUGCCUCUGCAGCUACUGGGAUUAUAGGGAAACACCACUACACCUGGCCCCAAUUUUAUUUAUAUAAAUUUAAAUUUAAAAGUAUUCACUAUUGAAUGAGUAAAAAUAAUCAAACUCAGUGAGUUUUUGUUGUUUUGUAUUAAGGAUUGAAUCAAGAGCAAUUUUAAAAUUUAUCACUAACCAAUGUAUGUAGUCCUUAUUUUUUAUUUCAAGACAGGGUCUCCCUAAGCUUCUGAAUCUUAUCUCAAAUUUGUGAUCCUCCUGAAUUUUCCACCUGAGUAGCUGGCAUUAUAAGACAAACACAACCCUACAUACCUUGCCAAACUCAGUGUUUAUAUUUACAGGAGACAAUAAAUGUGUAAAGCAAUUGUAU
rnacentral:lncRNA from 1 species